UCCCCCCAAAAAAUCUGCUGCUAAAUUAGGUGCAGGUGCAGUGCCAGCAGUGUUUGAAACUGGUAUGAACUCUUCCUCAGCUCUAUCAGCUGUUUUCAGCUUUGCAUCAUUUAGGCAUGCUCCAGGGAGGCCUGAUAAACUUAGUGCUGAACAAGUCUGUGAAGUCUGAGAACAGCUUCUCUCAUGGCUCCUAGCACUGUUAAUAUUCAUGCAGCUGAUCUAGCAUUAUAACUCUAGUCAUCUUUUCUACAAGUACUGUGGGUCUUGCGGUUUCCUGCUGAAUUAGGGGGUCUGGAUUGCUGAGAUCGAAGCUGAAACUAACCAGGAAAUGUACCUAUAACAGAAGAAGUGGAUACGGAGAAACAGAAUGGAGGGGAAAAAAAAAAUUCUUGCGCUUUAUCAGCUUGUCUCAUCUCCAUCAUCGCUGCUGGCAGAGUACCAUUCUUCAGUUUCUUCAGCGAGGCAUCUGUGAUGAUGAGAUGGCCAACUUCUUCCUUCGCUCCCCUCCCGGA
rnacentral:lncRNA from 1 species